rnacentral:rRNA from 1 species
UACGUAGGGCGCAAGCGUUGUCCGGAAUUAUUGGGCGUAAAGAGCUCGUAGGCGGUCUGUCGCGUCCGUUGUGAAAACUCGAGGCUCAACCUCGGGCUUGCAGUGGAUACGGGCAGACUAGAGUGCGGUAGGGGAGACUGGAAUUCCUGGUGUAGCGGUGGAAUGCGCAGAUAUCAGGAGGAACACCGACGGCGAAGGCAGGUCUCUGGGCCGCAACUGACGCUGAGGAGCGAAAGCAUGGGGAGCGAACAGG